GUGCCAGCAGCCGCGGUAAUACGUAGGGUGCGAGCGUUAAUCGGAAUUACUGGGCGUAAAGCGUGCGCAGGCGGUUUUUCAAGUCUGAUGUGAAAUCCCCGGGCUUAACCUGGGAACUGCGUUGGAAACUGAAAGACUAGAGUGCGGCAGAGGGGGGUAGAAUUCCACGUGUAGCAGUGAAAUGCGUAGAUAUGUGGAGGAAUACCGAUGGCGAAGGCAGCCCCCUGGGUCGACACUGACGCUCAUGCACGAAAGCGUGGGUAGCAAACAGGAUUAGAUACCCUGGUAGUCCACGCCCUAAACGAUGUCAACUAGUUGUUGGGGAGGGAGACCUCCUUAGUAACGCAGCUAACGCGUGAAGUUGACCGCCUGGGGAGUACGGUCGCAAGAUUAAAACUCAAAGGAAUUGACGGGGCCCGCACAAGCGGUGGAUUAUGUGGAUUAAUUCGAUGCAACGCGAAAAACCUUACCUACCCUUGACAUGUACGGAACUUGCCAGAGAUGGCUUGGUGCUUGAAAGAGAACCGUAACACAGGUGCUGCAUGGCUGUCGUCAGCUCGUGUCGUGAGAUGUUGGGUUAAGUCCCGCAACGAGCGCAACCCUUGCCAUUAGUUGCUACAUUCAGUUGGGCACUCUAAUGGGACUGCCGGUGACAAACCGGAGGAAGGUGGGGAUGACGUCAAGUCCUCAUGGCCCUUAUGGGUAGGGCUUCACACGUAAUACAAUGGUCGGUACAGAGGGUUGCCAACCCGCGAGGGGGAGCCAAUCCCAGAAAGCCGAUCGUAGUCCGGAUCGGAGUCUGCAACUCGACUCCGUGAAGUCGGAAUCGCUAGUAAUCGCGGAUCAGCAUGUCGCGGUGAAUACGUUCCCGGGCCUUGUACACACCGCCCGUCACACCAUGGGAGUGGGUAUUACCAGAAGCAGGUAGCUUAACCGCAAGGAGAGCGCUUGCCACGGUAGGAUUCAUGACUGGGGUGAAGUCGUAACAAGGUAACCA
rnacentral:rRNA from 1 species